rfam:Sarcophilus harrisii ctg7180002245042, whole genome shotgun sequence.
CCACAUUCAGGGCCCCAGGUGGGGCAAGAUGGCAGCCGAGGUUACACCCAGAGAGUCUUUAGAAAUUCAAUAGUAAGAUAUGAUCAAUUAUCCAAAAGGCAAUUGGAUGGAAGAAGGAGAUUAUACAAUCAAUCAGCCAAAGGGCAAUCAGAAGGUAAAAGGGGAUUGAAAUUAGGAAAAACAGAGUUGUAUGCAGUAGAGACUACUGAGAUAUCAUCCCCUGGAGAGGUGAAAUCUGUUCCUGUCCAGCUUAUAGAUCCCUUGCCUCCAGGCACAGUAGGCUUGACCAUUUCACCUCCUGAGGGUGCUUACAAAACAGUGGCCAUGGACAUCGGAAUCCUCUAAGGAGUGUCUAACAACUCACCUGCCGAAUCAACUAGCCCUGAAAAUGGAUGGCACUGGAGCAUUGGGCCCAUACCUGGCCGUCGCUGGCAAUGGGCACAAAGCAGGAACAGAAACGUGUUGUUUCCUGAGAACAGAUUCCGCACAAGGGAGGAAGGCACGAACUCACUCCUCAGGGGCUAGGCCACGAUGAGUAGGAGGGCUGCUGCGGUGGGCCUGGAAGCCUAGGGCAUGGGCCCAGGUGGAGCUGCCGCAGGUGUAGAUCUUGGUGGUAGUAGCAAAUAUUCAAACGAGAACUUUGAAGGCUGAGGUGGAGAAGGGUUCCAUGUGAACAGCAGUUGAACAUGGGUCAGUCAGUCCUGAGAGAUAGGCAAGCGCCAUUCCAAAGGGACAGGCAAUGGUCUCUGUUGCUCUCAGCUGAUCGAAAGGGAGUAGCGUUCAGAUCCCAGAAUCUGGAGUGGCAGAGAUGGGCCCUGUGAGGCAUCCAGUGCAGUAACGUGCCUGAUCCCAGAAAAGCCGGCUGGAGCCCCGGGGGAGAGUUCUCUUUUCUUUGUGAAGGGCAGGGCUGCCCUAGAAUGGAUUUGCCCUGAGAGUGGGCUUGUGGGCUUCUAUAUCUCCCAGAGUGCUCCUGGCUCUCAGUCUCCCAGAGUGCUCCUCUCUGACUCUUGUUGAUGUUUCGAAGUAACUAACCCAAAGCUAAGAGCCUCUUUAUACAUGAUCUCCCAAAGGU